rnacentral:misc_RNA from 1 species
CCAAUAGCGUAUAUUAGUGUUGUUGCGGUUAAAAAGCUCGUAGUUGAAUUUCGGGAUUGGGAUAUAUCGGUCGUGCCUUUAGGGGCAUGAAUCGGUGUGUGGCCAAUUCUCACCUUCUGGUGAAUUGGGAUGCUCUCGGGUGUUUCAAUGAACUAGGACUUUUACUUUGAAAAAAUUAGAGUGUUUAAAGCGGGCAUUUUUGCUUGAAUACGUUAGCAUGGAAUAAUAAAAUAGGACGAUGGUUCUAUUUUGUUGGUUUUAGGACCACGUAAUGAUUAAUAGGGAUAGUUGGGGGCAUUAGUAUUCAAUUGUCAGAGGUGAAAUUCUUGGAUUUAUUGAGGACUAACUACUGCGAAAGCAUUUGCCAAGGAUGUUUUCAUUAAUCAAGAACGAAAGUUAGGGGAUCAAAGACGAUUUAUGUACGUCGUAGUCUUAACCAUAAACUAUGCCGACUAGGAAUCAGACAAAGUUAAUUUUUUAACGACUUGUUUGGUACCUUAUG